UACGUAGGGGGCAAGCGUUGUCCGGAUUUAUUGGGCGUAAAGAGCGUGUAGGCGGCCAUACAGGUCAGCUGUGAAAACUCGAGGCUCAACCUCGAGACGUCGGUUGAAACCGUAUGGCUAGAGUCCGGAAGAGGAGAGUGGAAUUCCCGGUGUAGCGGUGAAAUGCGCAGAUAUCGGGAAGAACACCGGUGGCGAAGGCGGGUCUCUGGGCAACUACUGACGCUGAGGAGCGAAAGCGUGGGGAGCGAACAGG
rnacentral:rRNA from 1 species